AUGAAAAUCAGAUUAAAUGUUAUGACCAAUUUAUGCAGAAAUCCAGGUAAUUCCAAAGGGUUCACAGAUUAUCUUGCCACUGUAGUUGACUAUAUUUUGUAUCUACCUUUUCUGCUUUAUUCACUAUCUUUUCCAUUUCUCCCUAUCAUCUUAUUCUCUCUUUCCCAUUUCUUCCGAUCCUCUUAUUCUCUCUUUCCCAUUUCUUCCUAUCCUCUUAUUCUCUCUUUCCCAUUUCUUCCUAUCCCCUUAUUCUCUCUUUCCCAUUUCUUCUUACCCUCUUAUUCUCUCUUUCCCAUUUCUUCCUAUUCUCUUAUUCUCUUUCCCAUUUCUCCCUAUCAUCUUAUUCUCUCUUUCCAUUUCUCCCUAUCCUCUUAUUCUCUUUUUCCCAUUUCUCCCUAUCCUCUUAUUCUCUUUUUCCCAUUCCUCCCAAUCCUCUUAUUCUCUCUUUCCAUUUCUCCCUAUCCUCUUAUUCUCUUUUUUCCCAUUCCUCCCAAUUCUCUUAUUCUCUCUUUCCAUUUCUCCCUGUCCUCUUAUUCUCUUUUUCCCAUUCCUCCCAAUCCUCUUAUUCUCUCUUUCCAUUUCUCCCUAUCCUCUUAUUCUCUUUUUUCCCAUUCCUCCCAAUUCUCUUAUUCUCUCUUUCCAUUUCUCCCUGUCCUCUUAUUCUCUUUUUCCCAUUCCUCCCAAUCCUCUUAUUCUCUCUUUCCAUUUCUCCCUAUCCUCUUAUUCUCUUUUUCUCAAAAUCUCCCGAUCCUUUCGCUCAACCUCUCCAUGGUGCCCUCGUUUCCUCCCUCUCUCCCCCACUUCUCUCCAUGGUGCCUUCGUUUUCUCCCUCUCUGCCCCACGUCUUUCCAUGGUGCUCUCGUUUUCUCCCGCUCUCCCCCACUUCUCUCCAUGGUGCCUUCGUUUUCUCCCUCUCUCCCCCACUUCUCUCCAUGGUGCCCUCGUUUUCUCCCUCUCUCCCCCACUUCUCUCCAUGGUGCCCUCGUUUUCUCCCUCUCUCCCCCCCACUUCUCUCCAUGGUGCCCUCGUUUUCUCCCUCUCUCCCCCCCACUUCUCUGCAUGGUGCCCUCGUUUUCUCCCUCUCUCCCCCCCACUUCUCUCCAUGGUGCCCUCGUUUUCUCCCUCUCUCCCCCACUUCUCUCCAUGGUGCCCUCGUUUUCUCCCUCUCUCCCCCCCACUUCUCUCCAGCUCCUUUUCUGGACCAUUUCUAAUCUCUUCCAGCGACUGUUCUAA
rnacentral:lncRNA from 8 species